AAGACUAUAGACCUGCGGAGUACCUGCGGAGGGAUCAUUACCGUUGGGGGUCAAACUCCAAUCGGGAUAGACACCCUUGCCUUUGAGUACCUUUUCGUUUCCUCGGCGGGCUCGCCCGCCGGUGGACAUCCAAAAAAACCCCUUGUAAUAGCAGUAUCUUCUGAAUAAAAAGCAAAUAGUCAAAACUUUCAACAACGGAUCUCU
rnacentral:misc_RNA from 1 species